UGUCGUCCUGGUGAGCGGCGGUACGCAGGGUGUCGGCGCCGCCGUCGUGCGUGCGGCGGUGCGCGAGGGCGCGCAGGUCGCCUUCAGCGGACGACGAC
rnacentral:tRNA from 1 species